rnacentral:rRNA from 1 species
AUGGCCACCGUCGGCGUCGUCCUCCUGCUCCUCCUACUUGCACCGUUCCUCGCGGCCGCCGAUAUGUUGUGCGACAACCUUAAGGCCGCCUUGGUCACCCUCCCAAAUAACACCUCCUCCUCCCCGGUACGCUUCGCCACUGCCGCCUUCGGCCGAGCCCCCGACAUCGUCUACGCAUUCACGAUCUUCCGCGGCGACAUCGUCGGCGUCAUCUCCAACCAGUCCUACUGCCGCGAGUGCGUCAGCAACAUGACUGACAAGGUGUUGAACGCUGCGCCGCAGCAGUGCUACAACGGCACCUACCACGACUACGGUGACCGCUGUAUCCUCGUCUACUCCACAGACGACAUCAUCGCGCCGCCGUCUGGCGAAAACGGCGGCGAUGACACGCCAGUCGAGAGAUGGAACGACAAGAACGUCACCGGCGAUGCGGAUGAGGUCCGCCUCAUCACCGGCCUCAUCCGUGAGCUUCUGGUGCAGACGGUGGAGAAGGCGGCCAGCGCGGCGCCGAUGCGAUUUGCCACAGGCAUCAUGGACAGCGGCACGACCUUCCCGAUGGUGCGCUCCUUGGCGCAGUGCAGACCAGACGCAUCCACCGUCGACUGCUUGGCGUGCCUGCGUCGUCUCCUCGGCGUGGUCAACGCCACCAUGUCCCUACGCAUGGGAGCACAGAUCAACGCCAUACGGUGUUAUUUCAGGUACGAGGCGUAUCGGUUCUAUGGCGGUGAAGCGACGCUGCGCCUCACGCCACCGCCGGCGCCGUCGCUAGCUCCGACUCCGGCAAAACGGAGUAUGAGCAAACUGUGGGCAAUUCCCAUAGUUAUAGUUCCUAUAGUGGCAGCAGCAUUUCUGUGCUUCAUCUUUUGCUCCCGUCGGAUUACAAGGAAAAGAAGAGAGAGAUUAAUUCAGAGUUCUCAACCAUAUACUACUCAAGGUAAAGCGGGAGAGGAAGAACUAGGAUGGCAAGGGAAGAAUUCAGAGUUCUCCAUGUUUGAGUUUGAACAGGUACUAGUGGCCACAAAUAAUUUUUCAGAAGAAAACAAACUUGGAGAAUGUGGCUUUGGCACUGUCUACAAGGGCCAGUUACCCGAGGGAUCAGAGAUAGCACUUAAGAGAUUUGCUCCACAUUCGGGUCAAGGUUUCACAGAGUUCAAAAAUGAAGUCCAGCUCAUAGCCAAACUCAAGCAUAGGAAUUUGGUUAGGCUCUUAGGUUGUUGCUCUCAUGAAGACGAGAAAAUAUUGGUCUAUGAAUAUUUGUCAAACAAAAUCUUGGCUUCCUUCAUCUUUGAUGAAAAUAAAAGAGCUUUGCUAGAUUGGUCCACACUUUUAGCAAUAAUUCAAGGAAUAGCUCAUGGACUUCUUUACCUACAUAAGCACUCCCAAUUGCGUGUCAUACAUCGAGAUCUUAAACCGAGCAACAUUCUCUUGGAUAGCGAAAUGAAUCCAAAAAUUUCAGACUUUGGGCUAGCAAAAAUAUUCAACUCAAAUAGCAGUGAACAAAACACUACAAGAAGAGUGUUCGGUACAUACGGCUACAUGCCCCCUGAGUAUGCUUCAGAAGGCAUCUUCUCUAUUAAAUCCGAUGUCUUCAGCUUUGGUGUUGUUAUUUUUGAGAUCAUUAGUGGAAAACGGAAUUCUGGUAGCCGACAAUGUGGAGAUUUCAUCAAUCUCCUUGGAUAUGCAUGGCAAUUAUGGAAAGAGGGAAGGUUGAUUGAUCUCGCUGAUGCAUCAUUGGUUUCCAAGAGUAACCCAAUAGAGAUGAUGAGAUGCAUUAACAUAGCAUUGUUGUGUGUACAAGAUAAUGCAUCUGAUAGACCAACCAUGGCCGAUGUUGUUGCGAUGCUAAGCAAUCAGAGAAUGAUCAUGGUCGAGCCUAAACAACCAGCAUAUUUCAAUGUAAGAGUGGAAAAUCAUGGGGCAUCUUGUGCUCCCGAAUCAUGCAGUAUUAAUGAUAUUACCAUAUCGGUCACAGUUCCUAGAUAG